AACGAACGCUGGCGGCAGGCCUAACACAUGCAAGUCGAGCGCCCCGCAAGGGGAGCGGCGGACGGGUGAGUAACGCGUGGGAACGUGCCCCUUUCUACGGAAUAGCCUCGGGAAACUGGGAGUAAUACCGUAUAAGCCCUACGGGGGAAAGAUUUAUCGGGAAGGGAUCGGCCCGCGUUGGAUUAGGUAGUUGGUGGGGUAAUGGCCUACCAAGCCGACGAUCCAUAGCUGGUUUGAGAGGAUGAUCAGCCACACUGGGACUGAGACACGGCCCAGACUCCUACGGGAGGCAGCAGUGGGGAAUCUUAGACAAUGGGCGCAAGCCUGAUCUAGCCAUGCCGCGUGAGCGAUGAAGGCCUUAGGGUUGUAAAGCUCUUUCAGUGGGGAAGAUAAUGACUGUACCCACAGAAGAAGCCCCGGCUAACUCCGUGCCAGCCGCCGCCGUAA
rnacentral:rRNA from 1 species